rnacentral:rRNA from 1 species
AUUGAACGCUGGCGGCAGGCCUAACACAUGCAAGUCGAACGGUAACAGGAAGCAGCUUGCUUCUUUGCUGACGAGUGGCGGACGGGUGGGCUAUGUCUGGGAAACUGCCUGAUGGAGGGGGAUAACUACUGGAAACGGUAGCUAAUACCGCAUAACGUCGCAAGACCAAAGAGGGGGACCCUCGGGCCUCUUGCAAUCGGAUGUGCCCAGAUGGGAUUAGCUAGUAGGUGGGGUAACGGCUCACCUAGGCGACGAUCCCUAGCUGGUCUGAGAGGAUGACCAGCCACACUGGAACUGAGACACGGUCCAGACUCCUACGGGAGGCAGCAGUGGGGAAUAUUGGACAAUGGGCGCAAGCCUGAUGCAGCCAUGCCGCGUGUAUGAAGAAGGCCUUCGGGUUGUAAAGUACUUUCAGCGGGGAGGAAGGGAGUAAAGUUAAUACCUUGGCGCAUUGACGUUACCCGCAGAAGAAGCACCGGCUAACUUCGUG